rnacentral:siRNA from 1 species
UAAUUUGUCUACGGUUUAGUC